rnacentral:lncRNA from 1 species
UACAAUGUGUUCCUACAGGAGGAAAGAAAGAUGCGGCUUGAAGAUGCCUCGCUGCGAAGCGUUCACACAGACAAGCAAUUGAAAAACCAUAUCAUAUAUGUUGGCAAAUUGACGUUAGAAUAAUGUAUACAAGGAUGCCUUUCGUACAGCUCAUUCGACAUUUAUUAUUAGCAGAAACGAAUUUCCCAUCUAAUUUCUUGGCUGCUGGAGGGUGACAUCAGAUUUCCAUUUUUUUAUCUCUUGUUCGGGGGCUAGUUGCCGCAGGUUAAGGUGGAACAGCUGCCAUUGAUUUGUUUUAGCAAUUUCUAGAGAUUGG